rnacentral:rRNA from 1 species
GACGAACGCUGGCGGCGUGCUUAACACAUGCAAGUCGAGCGGUAAGGCCCUUUCGGGGGUACACGAGCGGCGAACGGGUGAGUAACACGUGGGUGACCUGCCCUCAGCUCUGGGAUAAGCCUGGGAAACCGGGUCUAAUACCGGAUAUGACUCCAUGACGCAUGUUGUGGGGUGGAAAGCCUUGUGCGGCUGAGGAUGGGCCCGCGGCCUAUCAGCUUGUUGGUGGGGUGAUGGCCUACCAAGGCGACGACGGGUAGCCGGCCUGAGAGGGCGACCGGCCACACUGGGACUGAGACACGGCCCAGACUCCUACGGGAGGCAGCAGUGGGGAAUCUUGCGCAAUGGGCGAAAGCCUGACGCAGCGACGCCGCGUGAGGGAUGACGGCCCUCGGGUUGUAAACCUCUUUCAGCUCCGACGAAGCGAGAGUGACGGUAGGAGCAGAAGAAGCACCGG